rnacentral:rRNA from 1 species
ACUCCUACGGGAGGCAGCAGUGGGGAAUUUUGGACAAUGGGCGAAAGCCUGAUCCAGCAAUGCCGCGUGAGUGAAGAAGGCCUUCGGGUUGUAAAGCUCUUUUGUCAGGGAAGAAACGGUGAGAGCUAAUAUCUUUUGCUAAUGACGGUACCUGAAGAAUAAGCACCGGCUAACUACGUGCCAGCAGCCGCGGUAAUACGUAGGGUGCAAGCGUUAAUCGGAAUUACUGGGCGUAAAGCGUGCGCAGGCGGUUUUGUAAGUCUGAUGUGAAAUCCCCGGGCUCAACCUGGGAAUUGCAUUGGAGACUGCAAGGCUAGAAUCUGGCAGAGGGGGGUAGAAUUCCACGUGUAGCAGUGAAAUGCGUAGAUAUGUGGAGGAACACCGAUGGCGAAGGCAGCCCCCUGGGUCAAGAUUGACGCUCAUGCACGAAAGCGUGGGGAGCAAACAGGAUUAGAAACCCCUGUAGUCCCAUG